rnacentral:rRNA from 1 species
UACGUAGGGUGCAAGCGUUGUCCGGAAUUAUUGGGCGUAAAGAGCUCGUAGGCGGUCUGUCGCGUCGAAUGUGAAAACUUGGGGCUUAACCCUGAGCUUGCGGUCGAUACGGGCAUCACUGGAGUUCGGCAGGGGAGACUGGAAUUCCUGGUGUAGCGGUGAAAUGCGCAGAUAUCAGGAGGAACACCGGUGGCGAAGGCGGGUCUCUGGGCCGAUACUGACGCUGAGGAGCGAAAGCGUGGGGAGCGAACAGG